rnacentral:sRNA from 1 species
AGACAGAGGGGCGGAUGCAGCCUACCUCCUGGGCAGUGAGCUGCGGUCUGAGGCCCCUGCCCAGCUGGAAACCACAGGGAGGGGAAGGCAGGGGAGGAGAGGAGAGGAGAGGAACCGUCAUGGGGCCUUGGAGUCGAGUCAGGGUUGCCAAAUGCCAGAUGCUGGUCACCUGCUUCUUUAUCUUGCUGCUGGGCCUCUCUGUGGCCACCAUGGUGACUCUUACCUACUUCGGGGCCCACUUUGCUGUCAUCCGCCGAGCAUCCCUGGAGAAGAACCCGUACCAGGCUGUGCACCAAUGGGCCUUCUCUGCGGGGUUGAGCCUGGUGGGCCUCCUGACUCUGGGAGCCGUGCUGAGCGCUGUAGCCACCGUGAAGGAGGCCCAGGGCCUCAUGGCGGGGGGCUUCCUGUGCUUCUCCCUGGCGUUCUGCACACAGGUGCAGGUGGUGUUCUGGAGACUCCACAGCCCCACCCAGGUGGAGGACGCCAUGCUGGACACCUACGACCUGGUAUAUGAGCAGGCGAUGAAAGGCACGUCCCACGUCCGGCGGCAGGAGCUGGCGGCCAUCCAGGACGUGUUUCUGUGCUGUGGGAAGAGGUCUCCUUUCAGCCGUCUGGGGAGCACAGAGGCUGACCUGUGUCAGGGAGAGGAGGCGGCGAGAGAGGUGAGGGGGGGACCUGGAUGCUGGCCAGGCAAGACCCUCGGGGGCUGGACACCCUGGGGCCCA